AAAUUGAAGAGUUUGAUCAUGGCUCAGAUUGAACGCUGGCGGCAGGCCUAACACAUGCAAGUCGAGCGGAAACGAGUUAUCAGAACCUUCGGGGGACGAUAACGGCGUCGAGCGGCGGACGGGUGAGUAAUGCCUAGGAAAUUGCCCUGAUGUGGGGGAUAACCAUUGGAAACGAUGGCUAAUACCGCAUGAUGCCUACGGGCCAAAGAGGGGGACCU
rnacentral:rRNA from 1 species